GCCCCGGUGGCUCAUCGGUCUAAAGGCUGUGUCCUUCCCGCAGCGACCCGGGUUCGAUUCCGGCUCGGGUCA